AUACGUAGGGGGCGAGCGUUGUCCGGAAUUACUGGGUGUAAAGGGCGUGUAGGCGGGGAUACAAGUUACCGGUAAAAACCCGAGGCUCAACCACGGGCUUGCCGAUAAAACUGUAUCUCUUGAGUAUAGGAGAGGGAAGUGGAAUUUCCGGAGUAGCGGUGAAAUGCGUAGAUACCGGGAAGAACACCAGUGGCGAAGGCGGUUUCCUGGCCAGUCACGUACGCUGAGGCGCGAAAGCUAGGGUAGCGAACGGGAUUAGAUACCCCGGUAGUCCUAGCCGUAAACGAUGGUCACUAGGUGUGGGUGGUGGUCAAGCCAUCCGUGCCGGAGCUAACGCAAUAAGUGACCCACCUGGGGAGUACGUCCGCAAGGUUGAAACUCAAAUGAAUUGACGGGG
rnacentral:rRNA from 1 species